UAACGCGUGGGUAACCUGCCUCAUACAGGGGGAUAACAGUUAGAAAUGACUGCUAAUACCGCAUAAGACCACGGUACCGCAUGGUACAGUGGGAAAAACUCCGGUGGUAUGAGAUGGACCCGCGUCUGAUUAGCUAGUUGGUAAGGUAACGGCUUACCAAGGCGACGAUCAGUAGCCGACCUGAGAGGGUGACCGGCCACAUUGGGACUGAGACACGGCCCAAACUCCUACGGGAGGCAGCAGUGGGGAAUAUUGCACAAUGGGGGAAACCCUGACGCAGCGACGCCGCGUGAAGGAUGAAGUAUUUCGGUAUGUAAACUUCUAUCAGCAGGGAAGAAAAUGACGGUACCUGACUAAGAAGCCCCGGCUAACUACGUGCCAGCAGCCGCGGUAAUACGUAGGGGGCAAGCGUUAUCCGGAUUUACUGGGUGUAAAGGGAGCGUAGACGGUUAUGUAAGUCUGAUGUGAAAACCCGGGGCUCAACCCCGGGACUGCAUUGGAAACUAUGUAACUAGAGUGUCGGAGAGGUAAGUGGAAUUCCUAGUGUAGCGGUGAAAUGCGUAGAUAUUAGGAGGAACACCAGUGGCGAAGGCGGCUUACUGGACGAUGACUGACGUUGAGGCUCGAAAGCGUGGGGAGCAAACAGGAUUAGAUACCCUGGUAGUCCACGCCGUAAACGAUGCAUACUAGGUGU
rnacentral:rRNA from 1 species